UAGGGAAUCUUCCACAAUGGGCGCAAGCCUGAUGGAGCAACGCCGCGUGAAUGAAGAAGGUCUUCGGAUCGUAAAAUUCUGUUGUUAGAGAAGAAUAUGAGUAAUAGUAACUGAUUAUUCACUGACGGUAUCUAACCAGCAAGUCACGGCUAACUACGUGCCAGCAGCCGCGGUAAUACGUAGGUGGCAAGCUUUGUCCGGAUUUAUUGGGCGUAAAGGGAACGCAGGCGGUUUUUUAAGUCUGAUGUGAAAGCCUUCGGCUUAACCGGAGAUGUGCAUUGGAAACUGGAAGACUUGAGUGCAGAAGAGGAGAGUGGAACUCCAUGUGUAGCGGUGAAAUGCGUAGAUAUAUGGAAGAACACCAGUGGCGAAAGCGGCUCUCUGGUCUGUAACUGACGCUGAGGUUCGAAAGCAUGGGUAGCGAACAGG
rnacentral:rRNA from 1 species